AGUAUUCGUAGCCGAGUGGUUAGGCAAUGGACUAGAAAUCCAAUGGGAUCUUCCCAAGUAGCUUUCAAUCCUACGAACUAAGACUA